GGCGCGAGUUCUCUGCUGGUGGCUUUCUCCGCGGCCCCUCCCGGGACAGAGCUGUUCCAGUGGGUGGGUCUCGGGUGUUAGCGGCAGAAGUGCAUCUCUCGCCCACCGCGUACUGGAGAUUUCGUGCCCCCCAACCCUCCCCGACAGAAUGGUAAUUCGCCCACUUUAAACGGUCUUUGUCGCCUCCCAAACUGACGCCCUGGCCUCAUGGUCUUGACCCGUGAGAAAAACGCAAAUUAGAGACAGUGACGUCUACAUCAAAGCGCUGUGUCCAUUCAUCCAACAUUCAUUGAAUGUCUGCUGUGUGUUAUGAGCUUCUGUGUCGCUGUCCUUUUGGACCUUACAGAGGGAGCCGCUGGAGCAGCACAAAGUCCAAGCUCUUUCCAACGUGGCACUUAGAUCACCAUCCGUGACCCGCCCCUACUGCAUCUUCUGCCGCUCCUCGCCGCCGUGUUACGGUCCAGCAACACAGCCCGGUGGUUUCCGGCCUCUGGCUCUGCUUGUUCUGUCCCUCCACCUGCCUUGAAUAACCUUCUUCAGUCUCUUAACCAGACCAAGCCUGCUCAUCCCUUACCAUUCGGCUUAAGGGUCGCCUUCCCCCAAAAGCCUUACUUGACCUCCACCUCCUUUAUACACACCUAUUGUUACACUUA